AUUGAACGCUGGCGGCAUGCUUUACACAUGCAAGUCGAACGGUAACAGGGUGGUUGCACCGCUGACGAGUGGCGAACGGGUGAGUAAUGCGUCGGAACGUGCCGAGUAGUGGGGGAUAACGCAGCGAAAGUUGUGCUAAUACCGCAUACGUACUGAGGUAGAAAGUGGGGGACCUUCGGGCCUCACGCUAUUCGAGCGGCCGACGUCUGAUUAGCUAGUAGGUGAGGCAAAGGCUCACCUAGGCGACGAUCAGUAGCGGGUCGGAGAGGAUGGUCCGACACACGGGGAGUGAGACAGGGCCCAGACUGCUACGGGAGGCAGCAGUGGGGAAUUUUGGACAAUGGGGGAAAGUCUGAUCCAGCCAUGCCGCGUGUCUGAAGAAGGCCUUCGGGUUGUAAAGGACUUUUGUCAGGGAGGAAAUCCCUAGUGCUAAUAACACUGGGGGAUGACAGUACCUGAAGAAUAAGCACCGGCUAACUACGUGCCAGCCGCCGCGGUAA
rnacentral:rRNA from 1 species